UACAGAGGUCCCGAGCGUUGUUCGGAUUCACUGGGCGUAAAGGGUGCGUAGGUGGUGAGGUAAGUCGGAUGUGAAAGCUCCAAGCUCAACUUGGAAAUGGCAUUGGAAACUACCUUGCUAGAGGGUUUGAGGGGGGACUGGAAUACUUGGUGUAGCAGUGAAAUGCGUAGAUAUCGGGAGGAACACCAGUGGCGAAGGCGGCGAUCUGGGAAGAUACUGACGCUGAGGUGCGAAAGCGUGGGGAGCAAACAGG
rnacentral:rRNA from 1 species